rnacentral:lncRNA from 1 species
GAAAAAAAACACAACGUUAUACGCCAAUUGAAAAUACCGAAAGAAAGAAAGGAGGAAAACAAAAAAGGGGGGGAAUUAUGAAAACGAGAAGAGAGAGAAAGGAGGAUUCAGAAACUGUUCGUUCUUUGUUCGUUCGUUCUUCUUUUAAAUCAAAUAUCACAAUCUAUUAUUUCUUUUCAUUUAUUUAUUUUUCAACACCACCAACAAUUAAUUAUAAACUUAUN